AAAUAUGUCUCCCAAUCAUGAUUAUCUCAACCUUAACAAUAAAAGUUCGACAGCUCAAACGAAACCUAGGGCGAGAGACUUCGGGUAAUAUUAAGUGAUCGCGUGUGGGUGAAAAAUAAAAGACUUUGUUAUCAAAUAUUGAAAGUCACGAAGGAAGAACAAACUGAUUAUAUGUUCCUCUGGAUCUCUUUCUCGGUAAAACUAGCUAACCAUUGACAUCACCGAGAAGAUUCAUUCAGAGCUGAAAUUAAAUCGAUCAAUCUCCAGAGAGAGAGAUUUGUUAUCGAUAUGGAAUCAGGAUGGGAAUCACAGGGACAACCAAGAUUGUUCGUCCAUUCCAAUUUUUAUACAUUGCCAAUGUAGAAUAAUCGACGAAACUAUUAGGGUUUCUGAUCUUCUCCUCCUUUCUUAGUUCCAUCAUAGUUCGUGAAAUCCAGUGAAGCUAUGCAGAUUUUUUGGCUAAAGAACUAGAUCAGCAUUUUUGUGGGAAGGAUGAAGCGCAAUAACAGUUUUCGCUUCGCAUUGGCUAAAAGAACUCAAUAAAGCAUGUGGUGUUUAUGGUGGUUUCCAUGAAGGACGAAGUGAUAGUUUCCAUAAAGGCAGUGGUGGUGGUUAGGGUGGUCGCCUUAAGCGGCGGUAAUGGAUAAUAGCUAUGGUAGUGGUUACUCCAGAUCCAAUGGUGAUUCUGAUGAAUACUAGAGAGACUAGAGUUUGAUGUUAUAUAUGAUGAUGGUAGUAUCGUAUUUAUAUCUCACAAGGAAGUUGGUGCUUCUUCAAUAAAAGCAGUGCAGGAGAUUGAUCUCAAUGAUCUUCCACCUUAGAACAAUUAUAGCUCCACAAUUUCCACUCUCACUCCUCCUACCGCAUCUGCACUGCCUUUUGCUUUUAAGAAUUAUCAGGUCGUGAUUAAUCCGGGUAAGUGAUUAAUAGCUUAAGAUUUCCCAUUCAUAGUUUAAAGCAUCGAAAUAUGUACAUGUGGGGUGUGAUCAUACACAAUGAUGGAUAUACGGUUUCGUUAAUUUUGUGACCAUGUAGAGUCUAAUCACACAAAAUACUGCCGUCCUGGUAGCCCAAUCUAACCCGAUAGCCAUCGCAAACUAUAAUAAAUGCAUAUGUAUCCAAACUACGGGGAUGAGCAAGCCAAAUAUAGCAGCACUCGCAUAUUUUUUUGUACGGAAACUUCCUUGGGUUUCAUUUUGAGGUUUGUUUUUUCCUUGGUAUAUGAAAAUCUAUUCUAUAAAUAUGAAAUCUUGGUGACAUAAAAAUAUUGUUGUUAUUUACAACAACUUGGACACUGGCUUCUUUGCACAAAAAUGAUGUAAUUUAAACUUC